UGUAGUUCAUUGGUAGAACGUUUGCCUAGCAUGCAGAAGACCCUGGGUUCAAUCCCCAGCA
rnacentral:tRNA from 1 species